rnacentral:lncRNA from 1 species
GGAGUCGCCUUCUGUGGAAUAUUGAAGAGGAUACAUUUGAUAAUUUUUCUGUAUACUUAGAGCACUGGCCUCAUUUUUUGUUUUGUUUUUAAUUUUUUUUUUUUUUUUUGGUUUUGUUUUGUCAGCUCUUAUUUGCCAGGUUAGUAGCAAAAGCUAAUAUUCGGAAUGCAGAGUUACUCUAAAACACACCAAAGAAACAAAAUCCACACUAGACUACCUUUAAACCAAUGAUCAGGGGGAAAUAUGCUCAUUUGUUUCAAUUCGCAUGGUGUUAGUCCUAUGCCAUAGGCACUUUGCCCACCUAAAAAACAGAGCAUAAUGACUUGCCGGGCAGGGAAAUGAAUAGGCUUCAUGGUUAGCAUGAGUCUCCUAAAAUGCCUCUUGUGCCUCCUUUUCAUGACAGGGCUAGCGGCUUUUUGGCAAUCAGCAAACUGCAGAAACAAUUCCAUCCAAAGUGAGUCAUCGCUCCAGUGACCAGAAACGGGACUCUCCCUUGGGAAUCUCCUUUAGCUGUUAUGUGUGUUUCUUGCUGUUGUUGUUUGGGGUCCUUUGCAAUCACGCUUUUAUGCAAAAAUGCCACUGAUUAUUUUAGUCUUUAAAUGAUGCAGUCUAGGCAUGUGUCCUGGAAAACUUCAGCAGCUGCCAGGCUAAUCUGAAACUCGGCGACCUGAAUGAGGUGAUUCUGCUGAACACAACCACUGGGCAAACAGAGUCAGACGCAGACUGUGAAGAUCCAUAUGCGAACUGCGCAUCUUCAUGUGUUGCAGGCACGGCCAAGUCCUCUUCUACGAAAGAAGCCCAGUGGAUGGGUCGGUAAUUAUAAAAAUCGACAUCAACCGACCAGGUCAACUCCAAGAAACGACGGGGACUCCCCACCGAGUCUUGAUGGGAAAGCAAAGUGGAGUGAGAGAACGGGAGGUCACCUCUGACAGCAAGGAGGAGGCUCAUGGCCGAGGAUGGCGGUCGGUCUUCAGGAUGUGCAGGGGACCCCUCCUCUGGGGUGGAUCUCUCUACUGGUGGUUCUCAAGUGGGAAUGGUUUUGCCUCUUGAGGGAUGUUUGGCAAACGUCUGGAGGCAUUUUUAUUGGUCACAAUUGUGAGGGGGUAUGUUACUAGCAUCUGGUGGUUAGAGGCCGUGAUCCUGCCAUACAUCCUAUGAUACACAGGACAGCUCCCCAUAAUGGAGAAUCAUUGAACCCAAAAUGGGAAUGGUGGUGAAGCGGCCACACCUUCUCUACCUCUAGUUGCUCAUAGCCAUGAAUCGGUCCUGGGAGGCUCUAUUGUCAGUCCCUUGGGGAGCUUUCUCCCCAUGCAUUGGGUCAUUUAUCACUCACCCCUUAAGCCUAGAAGCAAAGUCAUUUCUUCAAAGCAAAAAGCACACUCGAUGAACUUCUUACAUAAUUCUGUAUAUAACUCAGUAUAAUUCUGUUAUAAUUUGGUGUAAUUCUGAUAUAAUUCAGUAUAAUUCUUUUUCUCCCAGGGCUCCUUGGAGCCUGCGAGGGCUCCUCUUGGUUUCCCGGAGUCAAAAGCACCUCCUGAGUUGAUCAACUCAGAUCCUAACUGGAAAGGAAAGAAAGAGAAAGACAUAGAGCAUCUCAGGUGUGUGUGUGUGUGUGUGUGUGUGUGUGUGUGUGUGUGUGUAGCAUGUUUGAGCAAUAUAUAGCUACAGAUUUAUACACACAUAUUUAUAGUUUUUGGUUUCUUUAGGGUCCUGCCCUGCCUUCCCCUCCCAUGCAGACCUCAUUAUCACCCAUCCUCACUGCUGCUCAUUGUUCCUCAAUACCCUGUCCCACAGAGCACGCGGAGCCCCUCUCUGAGGUUGGUUCCAAAAAUUGGAAAACCUUUCAAAGAGACAAUGUGUCACAUUUCAUUUAUUUUUUAUUUUGUUUUUUAUUUUUUAAAGAUUUAUUCAUUUAUUCAUGAGAGAUACACAGAGAGAGGCAGAGACACAGGCAGAGGGAGAAGCAGGCUCCAUGCAGGGAGCCCCAUGUGGGACUCGAUCCCGGGACUCCAGGAUAAUACUCUGGGCUGAAGGCAGGUGCCAAGCCGCUGAGCCACCCAAGGAUCCCCAAUGUGUGACAUUUUUAAGUUGGCCAGUCCUCUUAGGUGCAGAAACUCAUAGGCUACAUGUUGCUCGGCAUUAAUGUAAUUUCACUGCAAAACCACAGUGAGUAUUUUUUACCUUUACCUUCUCAGUACUUAAUGAGGCAGAGGUACUAUAAAGAAUAGGGGAGAUGGGGACGCCUGGGGGGCCCAGCGGUUGAGCAUCUGCCUUUGGCUCAGGACGUGAUCCCGGGGUCCUGGGAUCGAGUCUCACAUCGGGCUCCCCGCAGGGAGCCUGCUACUCCUUCUGCCUGUGUCUCUGCCUCUCUGUGUCUUUCAUGAAUAAAUAACUCUUUAAAAAAAAAAGAGAUGAUGUUUAUAAAUCCCUUUGGGACUUAAAUUUUAAAAAUCUUACUACUAUUUAGAAAUAAAUAUUCUUCAUCAUUAUUUUUAUGAUUUCUGUAGAUGAGUCUAGUUUGUGGUGAUGUAACCCAAGGAAAUGGGGUUGCAGGACAUCUGCUUUGAAUAAACAGGAGUUCACUGGAUAAACUACUAUGGUUAUUGAGAGGUGGCUAACAAAAUCACCAGGUGGCAGGUCCCGCUUAUCCUCUAGCCAAAACCCAGCGAAUGCCAUGACACAGGACAGUAUCCGCAGCCAGAGCACAUAUGUUCUCUGGAAUUGAUCUUUCUUGAUUUAUUUGCCUAGAUUCAAGAAUUUCAUAUUUUGGUAAUGAUGAUGAUGAUGGAAUAGGGCUGAUAAAAGUGUGUAUUUUAUCUUGAGCUUGCCUUCUUCUUCUUUUUUUUUUUUUUAUUCAAACCUGAGGAGAAGUAAAGUAGCUCUGACUUAGUGAUACACUCGUUGGGAGUCCUGCGCCUCCUUCCCUCCCUCUCAAACUACGUUCACACCUGCCCCAACAUCCUCCCAUCCUAUUACGUAGGUAGGUGUGUGAACACUUAACAUUUACCAAAUGGAUGAAACUGAUCUCAACAGCGGUUGAAAAAAAAUAUGCAAUUUGUUUACAUCUGUAGACUCAUCGCCGUUUAUAAUUACUAUUUCACUUGGGUUUUAUAGUCUCUUCUUUGAGGAGCAAUAAUAACUAACGGAGACUGUGUAGUACGAUGGAAAGAAUAUUGGAUGGGGAGAUGGAAAAUAUAUUUCUGCUUGGCAACUAUCUAGCUCUGUGACCUUAGCAAGUCAUUUUACUUUCUGCCUUAGUUUCCUCUUCUGUAAAACAAGGGAGAUAGGAAAAAAAACAAAAAACAAAACAAAACAAACAAACAAACAAACAAAAACUAUAGAGUUUCCAGAUCCACAACUUAAAAUUCUAUGGCUUUAUUAUUUUUUAUUUAUUUAUUUUUUAAUUCUAUGGCUUUAAACUGCAGAUGAGCUACACGUUUCACAGGAUAUGGCAGGUAUUUAUAAUUCAUAUAAUAUAUUGGCUUUUUGAGUAGAAGAAAAAACCUUGACGGAUCCUCAAUUAUGGAAUGUAUCUAAUCCACAGGCGCACACGGAACAUCCCCAGCCUUGAGACAACUGGUUUCCCUUAAACGUCCGUCCAUUCCUAUGCCCUCUGUCCGCUCCACACCCAUGUCAUGUUUGUGACACAGUCUGAAGCUAUCUGCCAUGUGUCCACCAACAAAAACUUACAGAGGAGAGUGCUUUCUAGAAUCUACCCAUUACGAUUAUAAAAAUAAAUGAUUCCGUUGUAUAAAAAGAGGGGAAAAUAAUGUGAGGUUUACAUGAGAAACUUCAAAGUCUAAUGGAAGAAGAAGGCAGGAUGUGGUUCUAUUUGUUUAAAACUGUUUAACUUUUUAGGUCCAAGGAGUGAUAUGAAUACCAAAAGGAAUGAUUUCCAGGAGGAAGAGAAACUUUUGAUGGUUGGCCUAAUAAAAUAAAACUACACAUUAGUGAAACUGAAUUCAAAGAUGAUUCCAACGCUGCUGCACACAGAUGAGCCCUGUAGCUGGAUCCCAUCCAAGCCCAACGGCUGCGCACACUGUAACCACCAUGUGUUAUCUGCAAACCAGAUCGUUUCUGUGCGGUGAAGACCAGCCAGCUUUCUUGGCCAAGCUGCUGCCAUAAAACACACUACUGAUUUGGUUUCUCAUGUUUUUUAAGGAUAUUAUCCUUUGACGCACAGUAUACGUUUGGUCUCAGAUUGUCCAGAGCGCUAUUGCAAAUGACUGGUUGACGACUGUUUUAAGCAGAAUCAGGUCACGUUUUGUCAGGUUGUUUGGUGUCACCAGCAAAUCAUCGCUUUUCAAUGCGGACUAGUUUUUCGUUUUUUUUUUUUUGUUUUUUUUUUUUUUUUUAACUUUUACAUCUUAUGCAAAAGAAUACAAAGUGCAGUUUAAACACUCUCAUUAGGAAUAAUCUGCCUUUAACAAUUUACAUGCAUCAGCCGCCUUUGGUUAUGGGCUGUGAAAAGCAAAAGCAUCGUGGGAUCUCUUAACAGGACUGGAAAACUGAAUGUCAGAACUGCAUUUUUUGCACUUGGCCAGGGCGAUUCCCGCCUUGUAUAAAAUACCUACAUUCCAGCACCUCGUGUUUGCUUUGGAGACCUACAAAGAGUUAAUACAGCUUGUUUGGCAUCAGAUACUGGUAUAAUGGGCUUUUACUGAAGUAAUUAAAAUUUGUUUAUAAUUAAUACAGAUGAAUUGGUUUCUGCACAAUAAUAGUUAGGAGAUUAACAAAGGCCACAUUUUGGCAACAGGACGACAUUCUUUUCCAAGUGCUGUGGGACCCUAUCCAAUGAAUGUCUGUCCAAUCCGGCUGAUUCUUCAGAGAUGCCAUAUGGCACGGCUAUGCAUUAUGACUUUUUUUUUUCUAAAAGGCAGCCAUAUGACAUAACUGAUCUUUAAAACGUUGUCAGAAGGCAUUACCUGGGUAGGCUUCGAGCUGCUUUCCAAAAACUUAGCAAGCACGGGGGCUAUUAAUUAUGAGCAAAAGAAAUGUGCACGCGCACACUGGAAACUUGGCAUUCUUUCCUCUCUGGUCACAGCUGAUCAUGUCUCAAGCCGUCUUAACUGGGGAAGUAAGGAGGCUUCUUUUUUUUUUUUUUUUAAACUUCCAAAAGUCAAAAAAAAAAUAUGCAUUCUUCCUUAAAGCAUGUAUUUAGCAGUUUCAUCAUAAAAUGUCUGCAUUUGAUCCUGACAGGUAAGUACUUAGCCACCUGUACUUUCACCAUAUUCACUGAUUUACAAAAAAAAAAAAAGGAAAAAAAAAGCUAUCUACAGCUAAAAUUUUCAAAACAACAUUGAGGGUACCAUGAGUGAAAGAAAAAGAAUUUUCGAGUCGUGGUGGUGGUUGAUUUCUAGCUGACAUCCAUCCCCUCUGUAUUCAAUUUUGGAUGGCAGAAAAUGUAAAUAGCUCAAAUAUUUUCUUUCUGGUUUCCUCAGAAAAUUAGUUUGUGCAAGGGGGGCACAUCCAUUUUAAACUUUCCAUUUUUGUAUGUGUGCUAAGAACAAGUUGACGUAUUAGUUUCCAUUUAUACACACCCUGCUGAAAUUUGCAGAACUCUGUGGGGGGGUGGGGGGGGGGAGAAAAAGGGAAUCCAGAAGAAGUCCAUUAAUUCAGUGGGGCCCAUGCAGCUA